rnacentral:rRNA from 1 species
UCAAGCUACAAAGGGCGCAUGGUGAAUGCCUUGGCAUCAGGAGCCGAUGAAGGACGUGAUAAGCUGCGAUAAGCUUCGGGUAGGCGCACAUAGCCUGAGAUCCGAAGAUCUCCGAAUGAGGAAACUCACAUGGGAAACCCCAUGUAUCAUUAAGUGAAUACAUAGCUUAAUGAAGGUAACCCAGGGAACUGAAACAUCUAAGUACCUGGAGGAAGAGAAAGAAAAAUCGAUUUUCUUAGUAGCGGCGAGCGAAAGGGAAAGAGCCCAAACCGGAAACUUGUUUCCGGGGUUGUGGACAUAACAUAAAAGUGGAGGCUAUUGUAACUGAAGAGAACUGGAAAGUUCCACCGUAGAAGGUAAUAGUCCUGUAAGUGAAACGAGAAGACCACGAGUUAUGAUCCAGAGUACCACGAGACACGUGAAACCUUGUGGGAAGCAGGGAGGACCACCUCCCAAGGCUAAAUACUACCUGAUGACCGAUAGUGAAGCAGUACCGUGAGGGAAAGGUGAAAAGAACCCCGGGAGGGGAGUGAAAUAGAACCUGAAACCGUGUGCCUACAACCGCUCAGAGCCCCUUAUGAGGGUGAUGAGGUGCUUUUUGUAGAACGAGCCAACGAGUUACGGUAUGUAGCAAGGUUAAGUACUUAAGGUACGGAGCCGAAGGGAAACCGAGUCUGAAUAGGGCGACUAGUUGCAUGCCGUAGACCCGAAACCGGGUGACCUAUCCAUGGCCAGGUUGAAGCGAGGGUAAAACCUCGUGGAGGACCGAACCACGUUGCUGUUGAAAAAGCAUGGGAUGAGCUGUGGAUAGCGGAGAAAUUCCAAUCGAACCCGGAGAUAGCUGGUUCUCUCCGAAAUAGCUUUAGGGCUAGCGUCGAGUAUGAGUAGUGGAGGUAGAGCACUGAAUGGGCUAGGGGGCAUAGCGCUUACCGAACCUUAUCAAACUCCGAAUGCCACAUACUUUGAGCUCGGCAGUCAGACUACGAAUGAUAAGAUCCGUGGUCAAAAGGGAAACAGCCCAGAUCGUCAGCUAAGGUCCCAAAGUGUAAGUUAAGUGGAAAAGGAUGUGGGAUUUCUAAGACAACUAGGAUGUUGGCUUAGAAGCAGCCACUCAUUUAAAGAGUGCGUAAUAGCUCACUAGUCGAGAGAUCCUGCGCCGAAAAUGUACCGGGGCUAAACUUACCACCGAAGCUACGGAUUUGCAAGUAAUUGCAAGUGGUAGGGGAGCGUCGUAAUCGGGCUGAAGUCGUACCGGAAGGAGCGGUGGACUGAUUACGAGUGAGAAUGUUGGCAUUAGUAGCGAGAUGUAGGUGAGAAUCCUACAGGCCGAAUAUCUAAGGUUUCCUCAGGAAGGCUCGUCCGCUGAGGGUUAGUCGGGACCUAAGCCGAGGCCGAAAGGCGUAGGCGAUGGACAAUCGGUUGAUAUUCCGAUACCACUACCAUCGUUAUUAUCGAGGGUGUGACGGAGAAGGAUAGUGUGUGCUAGCGAUUGGAAAUGCUAGUCUAAGCGUUUAGGGAGUUACGGUAGGCAAAUCCGCUGUAACAAUUCUGAGGCGUGAUGGGGAAGGUCAUUAAGACCGAAGUACAUGAUUCCAUGCUUCCAAGAAAAGCAUCUAGAGAGAGAAGUAGUGCCCGUACCGCAAACCGACACAGGUAGAUGAGGAGAGAAUCCUAAGGCCGGCGGAAGAAUUGCAGUUAAGGAACUAGGCAAAUUGACCCCGUAAGUUCGCGAGAAGGGGUGCCUGCGAGAGCAGGCCGCAGAGAAUAGGCCCAAGCAACUGUUUAGCAAAAACACAGGUCUCUGCUAAAGCGUAAGCUGAUGUAUAGGGGCUGACGCCUGCCCGGUGCUGGAAGGUUAAGGGGAACACUUAGCGCAAGCGAAGGUGUGAACUUAAGCCCCAGUAAACGGCGGCCGUAACUAUAACGGUCCUAAGGUAGCGAAAUUCCUUGUCAGGUAAGUUCUG